rnacentral:lncRNA from 1 species
AUUGGGACCAACCUGGCAAACAGGGUGAAACCCUGUCUCUACUAAAAAUACAAAAUACAAAAAAAAUCAGCCUGGCAUGGUGGCGGGCGCCUGUGGUCCCAGCUACUCUGGAGGCUGACGCAGGAGAAUGCCGUGAACCCGGGAGGCGGAGCUUGCAGAGAGCCGGAGAUCACGCCACUGCACUCCAGCCUGGGCUACAGAGCAAGACUCCGUCUCAAAAAAAACCAAAACAAAACAAAACAAAAAAAACACCCAGUUUUUCCAUGGAGUGAUAGAAUUUAAUUGAUGAGCUUGACGAGCUUAAUUACAGAAGGGAGAGCUCCAAAAUACAUUUUCAGUUACUGCUCCUAGCAGGAUUCUCCAUUGCUACUCAUCAUAUUUUGUUAAGACAAACAGGGCUAUCAUGAAGCAGCAGACACCCCUGUCAUAUCAUGCGUGGAGGAGGAUCCAGCAUUUGUGAAAAUCACAGAAGAUCAUAUGAGAAGGCACCAUUUUAAUGAAAGAACAAGAAACCUGAAAUUCAAUAACAAAGCCUGAAGGCUAGAAAAGGUUAUGAAAUAGCCCAUGAUAAGCACAGGUGGAAAAUUGACACAAAGAGUUUUCUGCUAUGCCAAAUAAAUUUUGUUGUCUUUGUGUGUGUGUAUGCUGCGUAUCUUAAAACCAUAACAUUUUCACUGACAUUGAAUCAUCCUCCUCAGUAACUGAGGGAAACUUCCUUGGGAACCCACCUUAAAUUUUACCAUCUUUGGCAGCUUUUGAAAUGACUCUAUCUUCAAAUUCUUGAAUUUCCACAUUCUCUUCUCUGACUUUACCUUUGAUUAUUUUGCUCUCAGUAAAUCUGCAUCUCAGUCUUCCUCUUCUCAGUUCUAUCCUAGUGUACCAGCCCAUUAACCCCUGUUUGAUUUUAUUUGGCUCUCUUCCUCCAUGGGGCUACACGUAAGCCUCAUGCUCAUUGUAGUCCCUGUCUCUCUUCAACACUGGUAUCUUACCACCUCUCCAUAACUUCCCACUAUUUCUUUCUUGCCAAUCAUCAACCCUGUGUAAUAUCUACUGUCUUAUUUUCUUUGACGCUAGAAAUCAAGGCCCUGAUGGUCAAAGGCAUUAAACAAUCUAUGGGUUUGCCAUAAGUGCAUUAUGUGGUUUAUUAUUUUGCAGAUAUUUAAUGUGGUACAUGAUAAAAUGUUACUUUUUCUACUAAUCUUAUUUAUGUAGCCGAAAAUCUAGAAAAAUGUUUUUCUU